ensembl:processed_transcript Gm15941 predicted gene 15941
UGCGUGGGAGGAGUGGAAAAUUCAGGCUAUGUGUUCUUGGCGUGACAGAUUGUCAAUAGCCGGGGUGUUCUGCAUGGAGAGCUGGGAUGAGCUGUUCUGUUUCAGGGCCCAGUCUGUGUGAUGUCACUCAACAGCCCUUGGGACAUCUCCUCAUAGCCACAGACUAGUUCUGCAAUUGGUCACCUUCUUGAUUUGAAGCCACCCCUGGGAAUCUGGUGUCUGUCUUGGGAAUCUCUGCAUCAGAAAUCAGGUGUGGAAUCAGCUCUCAGUUGAAUUCCAAGGGAGAGCAAUUGCUGGCCUUACUUCUACAGGAAUGUGGCCCAGCUCACCCCCGAUUUGCCCCAUCAAUGGUACACUUCUCUCACCUUGGGUAAGCUCUGACGCCAGCUCACAGUUAGCAUGUGUCAUGUGGAAUGGCUGUCGCCCUGGAAUUGCCAUGUGAAAUCCAGGUACUGUGGCUUGGUCUCGGGCAGCCAGCUUUCACGUACCACUCGGCGGACAUUGGUGUGUGUGUCGACUGCAAUGUCAUUCAGCUCACUGUCCCUGAAGUUGGGGGUGGUGUUCUGGCAAUAGAACUUGGCAGAGAUGAGGACACGACUGUACAGUGGCUUGUGUCUGGGGUCAUUGGUAGAAGAACGGAAGCCAGUGCCACAGCUAUUGGCCAGUGU